AACGAACGCUGGCGGCAUGCCUAACACAUGCAAGUCGAACGAGACCUUCGGGUCUAGUGGCGCACGGGUGCGUAACGCGUGGGAACCUGCCCUUAGGUUCGGAAUAACUCCCCGAAAGGGGUGCUAAUACCGGAUAAUGUCUUCGGACCAAAGAUUUAUCGCCUUUGGAUGGGCCCGCGUUGGAUUAGCUAGUUGGUAGGGUAAAAGCCUACCAAGGCGACGAUCCAUAGCUGGUCUGAGAGGAUGAUCAGCCACACUGGAACUGAGACACGGCCCAGACUCCUACGGGAGGCAGCAGUGGGGAAUAGUGGACAAUGGGCGAAAGCCUGAACCAGCAAUGCCGCAUGAGUGAUGAAGGCCUUAGGGUUGUAAAGCUCUUUUACCCGGGAUGAUAAUGACAGUACCAGGAGAAUAAGCUCCGGCUAACUCCGUG
rnacentral:rRNA from 1 species